CCUUCAGUACUGGCCUGCGUAGCUUACAACAGUUACCCUGUCUAAGAAGGAGAUUGAUUCCAGAACCCAGAAUAAAGCAGAGAAUGCAGAUGGUGGUCACAUGGGUUCAGGUAAGGAGUAAGGAAAGUCACUGGCCCUUCUCCAAGUGCUGUGCAGGUGCAAAAGUUAUUUAAUUUUCUGUUUCUCUCUUGAAUGAAUAUGCUACCUAUUUGGUGGUAUAACACGUAAACUCAUUCAUAUUAAAUGUCAAUACAUGCUUUAAUGUUUUAAUCAAUAAAUGUACUAAAUAAUUUAAAUUUACAAGGGAUUUUGGAAACAGAUCCAACUUUAAGCAUGGCAGGAAAUUGAUAUUUGGACAAGGAAUGUUAGCACAUUCUUAGAUCAUACUCAGAUUUAAGGUAAGACUACUCUAUUUUUCAAACCAAUCUAGGUAUAUAAAACCAAAUCUAGUUAGAAUGAGAAUACUAAAUUAAACAUAAGUUUGUUAUUCAGAUAUUCCAUGUAGAACUGUGGGAUGAAGUGCAAUCAGCUGUGACUGGUUGGAAUAAGGACCUGCCUUAUCCCAUGGAGAGUUAGAGAAUCUGUUCCAACAAGGACAGAAGGUCCAGGUGGGAAGAGCUCUGGAAAACAAAACUCUCUGACAGCGCUCUUGAAAGCUCUGCUGGCAUCCCAAGGCACGUAGAUAGUACCUAUACAUCUCAUCAGGAACAUGGAUGGUUCUCUGCUAUCAGCUGAAGUGCUGUGACCACAAAACUGAAAAUUCCCAUUCUGUGUCCUUGCCAAUAAAGAAUGUCCAUCAGAGCACGCCCAGUAUCCUAGCUCCUUAUCCAGACUGUGCUUCUCAAUGUGACAAGGAAGACUGCAACCCUAUUUGCUUCUGAUAACCUUCCUAUGACUAAGUCUUCUCUGGUUGAGAUUCCUGGGGAGGACACUCAUGACAAUUGUGGUUUUUGGAGGAUCUAUCUUUAGGCAGCUAAAAGGAAGUUCAGAGAAAGCCCCUUCCUAUACUUCGCAGGAGAAAAAAGAGAGGGGAAGGUUAGAAUGCCAUCCUUCUGGAACACCCUGAGAAGUCCAGUUUUUCAGACUCCUUCCUGCUGAGGACUCAACCUAUUCUUCAAAUGAUGGGUUUUUGGAUUGAGAACUGCCUGAGAACUGCAAUAUGUGCCGGGAUCUUGAUUUUCUAUCUGGGACAAAAGACUGAGACUGGGCCUCAUUCUUCUCUUUGUUCAUUCUUGAUUUCUUUGGAUUAUAUAUUAUAUUAAACAACAUUAUCAUUG
rnacentral:lncRNA from 1 species